rnacentral:tRNA from 1 species
AGCCCCGAAUAAAGUAAAGUGCAAAUUUACAGCGGCACCAUAGGAGGUGCCGGGGCUU